rnacentral:tRNA from 1 species
GGGUACGUAGCUUAAUGGUAGAGCUGUGGACUCAUAAUCCAAAUAGUAUAGGUUCAAUUCCUUUCGUACCCA